AACCUCCUUCAGAGUCCACUAAGAUCCUUCGCCAUACUUAUCCAAAAAAAAAAAAAAAAAUCCUUCGCGAUAGACCUAGGCUUCAUCACCUUAGCGAUCUCAAUGACAUCGUCGAGCGAGAUAUUACCGUUGUGCUUGAUGUUCUUCGUCUUCUUCCGGUCGCGCUCCGGCUCCUUCAGCGCCUUGAUGACUAGUGCGGCGGCGGAGGGCACCACGGACACCUCACACCUUGGCCUGACGGUUCUGGACCGUUAGCUUGAUCAUUACGCGGAGAUCGGCAACGGCAUAAGUGAGAUCGGCGACGGUAGUCUUCCGAGGAUGUUGAGCACGACGUCGUCUGGGAUGCUCCAUUGGAGAAUCGGUGGGUUCAUCGUUUGGGACACAAACAAAAGGAGUAUUACUUGGGGUACUUAGGUACAGACACAUAAACAAUGCCGUUGAUUCGAGGAUCAGAAUUUAGAUCAGACUAAAACGUUGACUUAAUCUUGACUUGUGAAUAGUCCUCUUUUCGCUAUUGAAGCUUCCUUUUGUAAUUUUUUUUUUUUUUUUUUUACUCGAUAAUUUGGGAGAUUGGGAUUUAUAUAUAAUAGUAAGACUCUUUUAAGUUAAA